rnacentral:lncRNA from 1 species
ACAAAUUUUUUUUAAUCCUGAUUUUGUUUUAUUUUUUCCCAUUUCCUUAUUUCUACAGCUUGCCCAUCAACUUCAUGCCAGUCCUGGUCAGCCUCAUCUGAGGGAUCAGAAGCAGUGAAAACUGUCCAGUUUCUGGAUCUAGGACCUACAAGGAUGGUCACAGAUUCAGAUGACUUUUCUGUGGGAGGAAGAACCCGAACAAUCUUUCUGAGGCUAAGUGGAGAUGAUCUGGCCAUUACUGGAUUAAAUCUUUCUUCAAGCCCAAUCAGAUCUAUCUAUAUGACCUCCAAGCCUACUGAUGUCCAACCUGAACCUCCCCUGGCGCAGCCUGAGACUAUGUCCUCUUAUCCUGUUGCUGGUUGCCUGGG